AUGCAAGUUCGNAACGGGAUCCUUCGGGAUUAGUGGCGGACGGGUGAGUAACACGUGGGAACGUGCCCUUUGGUUCGGAACAACUCAGGGAAACUUGAGCUAAUACCGGAUGUGCCCUUCGGGGGAAAGAUUUAUCGCCAUUGGAGCGGCCCGCGUCUGAUUAGCUAGUUGGUGGGGUAAAGGCCCACCAAGGCGACGAUCAGUAGCUGGUCUGAGAGGAUGAUCAGCCACAUUGGGACUGAGACACGGCCCAAACUCCUACGGGAGGCAGCAGUGGGGAAUCUUGCGCAAUGGGCGAAAGCCUGACGCAGCCAUGCCGCGUGAAUGAUGAAGGUCUUAGGAUUGUAAAAUUCUUUCACCGGGGACGAUAAUGACGGUACCCGGAGAAGAAGCCCCGGCUAACUUCGUGCCAGCAGCCGCGGUAAUACGAAGGGGGCUAGCGUUGCUCGGAAUUACUGGGCGUAAAGGGAGCGUAGGCGGACUGUUUAGUCAGAGGUGAAAGCCCAGGGCUCAACCUUGGAAUUGCCUUUGAUACUGGCAGUCUUGAGUACGGAAGAGGUAUGUGGAACUCCGAGUGUAGAGGUGAAAUUCGUAGAUAUUCGGAAGAACACCAGUGGCGAAGGCGACAUACUGGUCCGUUACUGACGCUGAGGCUCGAAAGCGUGGGGAGCAAACAGGAUUAGAUACCCUGGUAGUCCACGCCGUAAACGAUGAGUGCUAGUUGUCGGCAUGCAUGCAUGUCGGUGACGCAGCUAACGCAUUAAGCACUCCGCCUGGGGAGUACGGUCGCAAGAUUAAAACUCAAAGGAAUUGACGGGGGCCCGCMCAAGCGGUGGAGCAUGUGGUUUAAUUCGAAGCAACSCSCAGAACCUUACCACCUUUUGACAUGCCCGGACCACCAAAGAGAUCUGGCUUUUCCCUUCCGGG
rnacentral:rRNA from 1 species